UACAGAGGGUGCGAGCGUUAAUCGGAAUUACUGGGCGUAAAGGGCGCGUAGGUGGUUAAGUAAGUUGUUUGUGAAAUCCCUGGGCUCAACCCAGGAAUUGCAGGCAAGACUGUUUGACUUGAGUACAGUAGAGGGAAGUGGAAUUUCCGGUGUAGCGGUGAAAUGCGUAGAUAUCGGAAGGAACAUCAGUGGCGAAGGCGACUUCCUGGACUGAUACUGACACUGAGGCGCGAAAGCGUGGGGAGCAAACAGGAUUAGAUACCCUGGUAGUCCACGCUGUAAACGAUGAGAACUAGAUGUUGGGCAGCUUAGACUGUUUAGUAUCGAAGCUAACGCGAUAAGUUCUCCGCCUGGGGAGUACGGCCGCAAGGCUAAA
rnacentral:rRNA from 1 species